rnacentral:lncRNA from 1 species
AACCCCCAUAGAAACCCCUAUAAACCCCCAUAGACCCCCAUUAACCCCCAUAGGGACCCCUAUAAACCCCCAUUAACCCCUAUAGGCCCCAUAGAAACCCCUAUAAACCCCCAUAGACCCCCAUUAACCCCCAUAGACCCCCAUUAAUCCCCAUAGAGACCCCUAUAACCCCCCAUUAACCCCCAUAGGCCCCAUAGGCCGCACUAGGCCCCGUACGGACCUUCAUCCUCCAUUGUCCCGUCAUGGCGCAGCGCAGCCCCCGCGCCCACACGGGCGCCGCCAUCUUGCCGCAAAGACUCCGGAAAAGGCGGGCGCGUCCUCUCAGCCAAUAGAAAUAGGGGCGGAGAGUGACGGACAGGCGAGCCGACCAAUGGGAAAGGAAGGUGGGCUCGCCGCGCUGCUCAGCCAAUAGGAAGGGGGUUCAGAGUGAUUGACGGGUGAGGCGACCAAUGGGUGAAGGAAAAUGGUUUGGCGCUGUUUUUUGCGCCCAAUCAGCGCUUUGGAGGCUUUUGUGAACGAAAUGAGGCCUUGAAAUGGGUAAAAACCGGCCCAAAAUGGUUUAUUUUGGUAUAAAAAACCUUCAUUAUAAAUAUAAACUCUAUGGUUGGGACAGAACAGCACAGACAGGCAGAAAAGACGCUCUAGGAUUCAGUCCUCCAGCAUCUCUAUGGUCUCAGGUCCUCCAACGCAGUCCUCCAACAUCUCUAUGGUCACAAGUCCUCCAGAGUCCCUCCAGUCCUCCAGCAUCUCUAUGGUCUCAGGUCCUCCAACGCAGUCCUCCAGCAUCUCUAUGGUCUCAAGUCCUCCAGCGUCCCCAUAGUCCUCCACAGACUCUAUGA